GGCUCUGUGGCGCAAUGGAUAGCGCAUUGGACUUCUAAUUCAAAGGUUGUGGGUUCGAGUCCCACCAGAGGCG